GACGAACCGUGCGAACGUUGUUCGGAAUCACUGGGCUUAAAGGGCGCGUAGGCGGGCUGCCAAGUCAGAGGUGAAAUCUUUCGGCUUAACCGGAAAAGAGCCCCUGAUACUGGCGGCCUCGAGUGGGGUAGGGGCACGCGGAACUUCCGGUGUAGCGGUGAAAUGCGUAGAUAUCGGAAGGAACAUCAGUGGCGAAAGCGACUUCCUGGAUCAGUACCGACGUUCAGGCACGAAAGCGUGGGGAGCAAACAGG
rnacentral:rRNA from 1 species